rnacentral:rRNA from 1 species
GUCGAGCGGAGUGAGGAGAAGCUUGCUUCUCUGAGACUUAGCGGCGGACGGGUGAGUAACACGUAGGCAACCUGCCCAUAAGACUGGGAUAACUACCGGAAACGGUAGCUAAUACCGGAUAGGUUCUUCUCUCGCAUGAGAGAAGAAAGAAAGACGGAGCAAUCUGUCACUUAUGGAUGGGCCUGCGGCGCAUUAGCUAGUUGGUGGGGUAAAGGCCUACCAAGGCGACGAUGCGUAGCCGACCUGAGAGGGUGAUCGGCCACACUGGGACUGAGACACGGCCCAGACUCCUACGGGAGGCAGCAGUAGGGAAUCUUCCGCAAUGGACGAAAGUCUGACGGAGCAACGCCGCGUGAGUGAUGAAGGUUUUCGGAUCGUAAAGCUCUGUUGCCAGGGAAGAACGUCCUUGAGAGUAACUGCUCAAGGAGUGACGGUACCUGAGAAGAAAGCCCCGGCUAACUACGUGCCAGCAGCCGCGGUAAUACGUAGGGGGCAAGCGUUGUCCGGAAUUAUUGGGCGUAAAGCGCGCGCAGGCGGUUAUUUAAGUUGGGUGUUUAAUCCCGGGGCUCAACCUCGGGUCGCACCCAAAACUGGGUAACUUGAGUACAGAAGAGGAAAGUGGAAUUCCACGUGUAGCGGUGAAAUGCGUAGAGAUGUGGAGGAACACCAGUGGCGAAGGCGACUUUCUGGGCUGUAACUGACGCUGAGGCG